GUAAAAACGAAGAAAAAGACGCGAUAUCAUUAUCCCUUAUCUAGUAGCGAGAUGAAGUACGGUGAAAGUUCAUCGAUAAGCAAUGGUAUUAUCACUUUGGAGUUGAUUCAUGGAAAUAAAAGUAUAUGAAUCCGUAACGUGCGUUAAACGUAAUGAGGGCUAAAGCUAUUUUUUGCUUUAGAACUAAGGUGGUACCGCGUGAUGAGCGUCCUUAGA
rnacentral:ncRNA from 1 species